UCAACACAGAGUGAGGGCAGUGUCAUUCCUCCUGUCCACUACCCCAACUUCUACUCCCAACACUACCACAACAAUGAGCGGUCUGGUGUGGUGGCUGAGGAUUCUUUUGAAGAGGACAAUGCUUCUGCUUCAUCUGAGCAGCUUGAAGCUGCCUGCAGAAAUAGGCAAAACAGCAACUGACGAAAGAAUAAAGUUGAAGGAAACUGGAGUUUCCCUGCAAAACAAGCUAUCAAGAAGACCUAUACAAUGUGUGUGAGGUUCUGGAAUGUAACUCCCACAGAUGGCAGGGAAACACUGCAUAUCUUCCCUCCCACAACAGCGAUGCACUUAAUGAAUUGGGCCAAGAUAAUUAGUGAAAGCUUUCUGUGUUAAAGAGAUGCAGCUAGUGGGCCAAUAUAUAUACUGAUCGUUCAAUUAAUCCUUUAUGUCAUAAAACUUCUCUGAAAAAAUCUAGUGAAUAAUUUUUCCUCUCUCACUGCACUGUCCUUGAUCUAAAUUACAUAUUAAAACUACACAUGAUAGUGUAAUGAUCAGUAUGCUUGGCUCACAAACCAUAUAUAUAUAUAUAUAUGCUUGGCUUUGUCUCCAAACUCUCCCCCAUAGAGAGACUGUAUUAACCUGCAGAAAUAAAGCUAUCAUUCAGGGAAACUGGUUUGUUUGCCAAACAAACAUUACAUUGCUGAAUAUUCUGUGGCACCAAAUGCUUUGUCAGGAAUUGUGGCAAUGAUAUUUCAAUCCUUGUCUUUGCAUCCUACAAUUUGUAUGCUGAACAUAAACCUUAUCAACAAG